UGUCCAGAAGACUCUACAAUACAAAAUCAUAUUUACAAUCCAGAAAUCUCUUCUGUUAGAUUGAAGGGAAACACAUCCACUUUAAACUCACUUUUAUAUGAGAUUUGACCACAUUUGUUCUCUCCAGUCUCUGUUCCUCUGGAAUCCCGAUCUCCUCCCAGAUGUCCUUCAGGCGGCACAGUGCUUUAUUUAGGCAUGCCACUGCCUCGGCAGCAAGCACCUCACUUAAAUCAGAAUAGGACUAUGAAGACGAGACUACACCUUGGACAGGACAUUAAUCCAUCACAGGCAUCAGACACAUUUACUGACCAGAGUGACCCAAGGUCACACUGCCCUCCACACUGCCCUCCAGUGCUGCCACCUUGCUGCCAGAAACCAGCGAGUCUGCAUGAAUUUAUUCCAGCAGAGCCUCCAGCAGCCUGGCACUGUUCGUGAUGGCAGUAGUUACCACAAUAAACUUAAGUCCUUGAAUAGGAAAGUACAUUGUUAGUGUUGGACAAUAACUGCACAUUCAUUGACAGAUCUCUUCUUUCUUCUGAAACCUUCUUACCUUUC